rnacentral:snoRNA from 1 species
AUGUAUCUGUUGACAGACCUGUAGCAAUUGCUUAUAUUCUCCAAGAUUUCCACUACAGAUGUGAGAAAAAAGUGUCCUCCCACUUUCUGCCUGUCUGAUUGUAGCAGCAGAGACUGAAUGUAAGAAUACUAGA